rnacentral:rRNA from 1 species
UACGUAGGGGGCGAGCGUUGUCCGGAAUCAUUGGGCGUAAAGAGCGUGUAGGUGGACUGGAAGGUCUGGUGUGAAAGCCCGGGGCUCAACCCCGGAGGGUCACUGGAAACCAACAGUCUUGAGUCCGGAAGAGGAGAGUGGAAUUCCUGGUGUAGCGGUGGAAUGCGCAGAUAUCAGGAAGAACACCCGUGGCGAAGGCGGCUCUCUGGGACGGUACUGACGCUGAGACGCGAAAGCGUGGGGAGCGAACAGG